rnacentral:rRNA from 1 species
GAUGAACGCUGGCGGCGUGCUUAACACAUGCAAGUCGAACGGAAAGGCCCAAGCUUGCUUGGGUACUCGAGUGGCGAACGGGUGAGUAACACGUGGGUGAUCUGCCCUGCACUUCGGGAUAAGCCUGGGAAACUGGGUCUAAUACCGGAUAGGACCACUUCUUGGAUGUUGUGGUGGAAAGUUUUCCCGGUGUGGGAUGAGCUCGCGGCCUAUCAGCUUGUUGGUGGGGUAAUGGCCUACCAAGGCGUCGACGGGUAGCCGGCCUGAGAGGGUGUACGGCCACAUUGGGACUGAGAUACGGCCCAGACUCCUACGGGAGGCAGCAGUGGGGAAUAUUGCACAAUGGGCGCAAGCCUGAUGCAGCGACGCCGCGUGGGGGAUGACGGCCUUCGGGUUGUAAACUCCUUUCGCUAGGGACGAAGCGUUUUUGUGACGGUACCUGGAGAAGAAGCACCGGCUAACUACGUG